rnacentral:ncRNA from 1 species
AGGGCAAACCAUUCGAAAGAGUGGGACGCAAAGCCUCCGGCCUAAACCAGAAGACAUGGUAGGUAGCGGGGUUACCGAU